rnacentral:rRNA from 1 species
AUUGAACGCUGGCGGCAGGCCUAACACAUGCAAGUCGAACGGCAGCACAGGAGAGCUUGCUCUCUGGGUGGCGAGUGGCGGACGGGUGAGGAAUACAUCGGAAUCUACUCUGUCGUGGGGGAUAACGUAGGGAAACUUACGCUAAUACCGCAUACGACCUACGGGUGAAAGCAGGGGACCUUCGGGCCUUGCGCGAUUGAAUGAGCCGAUGUCGGAUGAGCUAGUUGGCGGGGUAAAGGCCCACCAAGGCGACGAUCCGUAGCUGGUCUGGGAGGAUGAUCAGCCACACUGGAACUGAGACACGGUCCAGAUUCCUACGGGCGGAAGCAGUGGGGAAUAUUGGACAAUGGGCGCAAGCCUGAUCCAGCCAUACCGCGUGGGUGAAGAAGGCCUUCGGGUUGUAAAGCCCUUUUGUUGGGAAAGAAAUCCAGCUGGCUAAUACCCGGUUGGGAUGACGGUACCCAAAGAAUAAGCACCGGCUAACUUCGUGCCAGCCGCCGCAGUAA